rnacentral:rRNA from 1 species
AGGUAACGGCUCACCAGGCGACGAUGCGUAGCCGACCUGAGAGGGUGAUCGGCCACACUGGGACUGAGACACGCCCAGACUCCUACGGGAGGCAGCAGUAGGGAAUCUUCCACAAUGGACGAAAGUCUGAUGGAGCAACGCCGCGUGAGUGAAGAAGGUUCUCGGAUCGUAAAACUCUGUUGUGAGGGAAGAACAAGUACCGGAGUAACUGCCGGUACCUUGACGGUACCUCAUUAGAAAGCCACGGCUAACUACGUGCCAGCAGCCGCGGUAAUACGUAGGUGGCAAGCGUUGUCCGGAAUCAUUGGGCGUAAAGCGCGCGCAGGCGGUCCCUUAAGUCUGAUGUGAAAGCCCACGGCUCAACCGUGGAGGGUCAUUGGAAACUGGGGGACUUGAGUGCAGAAGAGGAAAGCGGAAUUCCAAGUGUAGCGGUGAAAUGCGUAGAGAUUUGGAGGAACACCAGUGGCGAAGGCGGCUUUCUGGUCUGUAACUGACGCUGAGGCGCGAAAGCGUGGGGAGCAAACAGGAUUAGAUACCUGGUAGUCCACGCCGUAAACGAUGAGUGCUAAGUGUUAGGGGUUUCCGCCCCUUAGUGCUGCAGCUAACG